rnacentral:lncRNA from 1 species
UUUCUUCCAAUUUUUUUCCUGUGAAUUUUUUUUUCUGGGAUUUCUUUUCUGGAAAUUUUUCUUUUUCCAAGAAUUUUUUUUCCAGAUUUUUUUUUUCCCAUUUUUUCCCUUUUCCAGGCAUUUUUUUUCCUGUGAAUUUUUUUUCUGGGAUUUUUUUUUCUGGAAAUUUUUCUUUUUCCAAGAAUUUUUUUCCAGAUUUUUUUUUUCCGAUUUUUUCCCCAAUUUUUUCCCAUUUUUUUUCCUU